UACGAAGGGGACUAGCGUGUUCGGAAUUACUGGGCGUAAAGCGCACGUAGGCGGAUUUGUUAGUCAGGGGUGAAAUCCCGGGGCUCAACCUCGGAACUGCCUUUGAUACUGCAAGUCUCGAGUCCGAUAGAGGUGGGUGGAAUUCCUAGUGUAGAGGUGAAAUUCGUAGAUAUUAGGAAGAACACCGGUGGCGAAGGCGGCCCACUGGAUCGGUACUGACGCUGAGGUGCGAAAGCGUGGGGAGCAAACAGG
rnacentral:rRNA from 1 species